CCAAUUGGAGAAGAAAAAUUGUAGAGAAAACCCGUCUGGACGAGGACACGCCAUGUGCCUUUGGACAGACCCUGUUCCUAAAGGUCUUAUCCUCUCUUCUUUCUUCAGGGCACAAAGGAAAGGAAACCACUAGCUUCUUUUCCCGGAUAAAGAUGAGGAAUUCCUACUCCCUGGGAUCUUUUGAUCUUUAACUAUAUCGCGUAGGAGAUCUUUCAUAGUGAUUCCAAUCCGUCUUGAAGGCUUUAGGUGGUUCUUCCAAAGGAUUGGACACCCGCAUGUUCUCUAAA
rnacentral:lncRNA from 1 species